GCAGGGAGGAGCAGAACUAGAAGGGGUAUUAAGUAAUUGCUCUGCGGAUAUGGCUGUGAACAAAACAGAUGGGGCUUACAUCCUGUAGAAGAGACCGCAUGAGGACACAGGGAGGAGCUGGUGAUCCGCAAGCCAGAAGGAGAGGCCUCACCAGAAACCAACCUUGUUGGCGCUUUGGUCUUGGACUUCCAGCCUUCAGGACUAUGAGAAAAUACAUUUCUGCUGUUUAAGCCACCCAGUCUAUGAUAUUUUGCUGUGGCAGCCCAAGGUAGUGCAGGGGAGUUAGGUGGGGUGACAAAAGCCAAAAUUUACAAAGAAAACAUAAAUACCUAUAGGUCCAUCAUCCAGAAUUAGCAACUGCUAACAUAUUGUCAUAUUUUCUUUGGGUUCUUCUCCCUUCCUUCUU